ACUCAAAUGAAUUGACGGGGGCCCGCACAAGCGGUGGAGCAUGUGGUUUAAUUCGAUGCAACGCGAAAAACCUUACCUACUCUUGACAUCCCUGGAAGCCCGUAGAGAUAUGGGUGUGCCUUCGGGAAUCAGGUGACAGGCGCUGCAUGGCUGUCGUCAGCUCGUGUCGUGAGAUGUUGGGUUAAGUCCCGCAACGAGCGCAACCCUUGUCCUUAGUUGCCAGCAAUUCGGUUGGGGACUCUAAGGAGACUGCCGGUGUUAAACCGGAGGAAGGCGGGGACGACGUCAAGUCAUCAUGGCCCUUACGAGUAGGGCUACACACGUGCUACAAUGGGCGGUACAAAGGGUUGCAAAGCCGCGAGGCCAAGCUAAUCCCAAAAAGCCGUUCUCAGUCCGGAUCGAAGUCUGCAACUCGACUUCGUGAAGUCGGAAUCGCUAGUAAUCGCGAAUCAGCAUGUCGCGGUGAAUACGUUCUCGGGCCUUGUACACACCGCCCGU
rnacentral:rRNA from 1 species